rnacentral:rRNA from 1 species
UACGGAGGGUGCGAGCGUUACUCGGAAUCACUGGGCGUAAAGGGCGCGUAGGCGGCUGGGCAAGUCUGGUGUGAAAGCCCAGGGCUCAACCCUGGAAGGGCACUGGAAACUGUCUGGCUUGAGUUCCGGAGAGGAGGGGGGAAUUCCCGGUGUAGCGGUGAAAUGCGUAGAUAUCGGGAGGAAUACCGGUGGCGAAGGCGCCCCUCUGGACGGGUACUGACGCUGAGGCGCGAAAGCGUGGGGAGCAAACAGG